CUGGGCUCGGCUCCGCCGGGAGCGAGCGCUUCCUGCCCGCGCCGCCCCGCGCCCGGCAUGCACAGCGCCGCCGCCGCCCGCGCCCCGCCGCGCCGCCCCGCGCCGAGCCCAGCCCGCCCGGCUGCGGGCACACACCGAGCGGCGGCGGCGGAGGCGGCGGCGGCGCGGCGGGCCCGCACUGCGCUCAGCUCUCAGGUUGGAGGCUCCGCCCGCAGCCUUUCCCGGCCCUGGCCCCGGCGCCGCGCCGCGGCCCGCAGCUGCCCGCGCCGCCGGGCAGGCUCCGCUCACCGAUGGUCCCUGCGCCAGCGCCCGCGGGGCGGCCGCGCUCGGGCCGCCGCGGCUGUAGCGUCGCCCUUUACGGACAGUCUUUAAAUGCCCCCUUAGUGUUAAUGCAGAAGGCGAGCCUCGGCACUCCCGAGGGCCUGCCUUUCUGUUCCCUUUCCGAAACGAAAAGUAUUAGUAACAAGACAAUUUGCACGGAGAUGAGGGCAGGUCUUGCCAAGAGUAUCUGCUCCCGCUCCCGCUCCCGCUCCCGCCGGGAGCCCCGCGAGCUUGCAGUGUCGCAAGGCGCUACCACAGGAAAGUACCCUGAUGUCGCGCAGAGGGCUACGAUGUCUGUGGGCAGGAAGAACACGGGCACAUGCACCUUCCACCCAGGAAUGCGGAACGGCUAACCUACUGGAAGUGUCGGGAAUGACUGCACACUUCUCACCUACAGCCACCCAGGAAAGUACAAGACAUUUUCUCUAGAAGCUCUGGGAUCAAUACACCUUUUUUUUUUUUUUUUUUUUUUUUUUUAGUGCCAUGGAAUGCUCUCCUGCUAAUUUUAUAUGCUGUUUUGAAAUGCUGGUAUUUCAAAGGUGCUUACAGGUAUGACUCACCUAACACGAUCACUUAAUCAAAUAUUUAAUCCCUAUUUAUACUCAAGAAAAAUCCCACUGAAGACAAUGCUAGAUAUUUGCUAUUUGCUGCAUGGGAAGUUAAACAUCAAGUGCUGCAUCACUGCAAGUUUAGAUCAGCAUGUUUCUUAUGUCUGAGAAGAUCUGAGUGGAGGUAGAAUGGCAAGAUCAACACUUUCCCUGGUUCCUUCCAUUGGUAAAAGCAGUGGGAAAAGAUGAGAAAUACAAAAAAUACAAAUUGUUACUGUAACCUCUGCCUGUUUAUUCUCUGAGUUCACCUAGGCCAUGUCUUUAGCAACUACCCAUCUUUCUAUGUUGAAUCUUUCACUCUCAUGAUACACCUCACAAGGCUUUCCUAUGUGUCAUCUGUGAGCCAUCACAGUAGGUCUGACCAGCUCCAGAACCAGAACUCUCUUUCCUGUGAAGCUGUGAGAGUGACAAUCUACAAUCUAACAACUAAAUGUUUAUGGAGAAUGAAAGCAUUUUCAAGAAAAUAAAAACAAACAUAUGUA